CUCUUUUUGAUAAUAAUUUAAAGUCGGGCCUGCCCACUGAGAAAUUGAAGGGCCGCAGUAUUUUGACUGUGCAAAGGUAGCAUAAUCAUUAGUUUUUUAAUUGAAAGCUGGAAUGAAUGGUUUGAUGAAAAAAUUACUGUCUUAAAUUUAAUUUUAUAGAACUUUAUUUUUAAGUUAAAAAGCUUAAAUGCUUUUAAAAGACGAGAAGACCCUAUAGAGUUUAAUUUAUUUAAAAUUAUAAAUUUUUAGAAUUUAAUAGUUUUUAGUUUUAAAUAAAUUUGAUUGGGGUGAUUAAAAAAUUAAAUGAACUUUUUUUUUAUAAAUACAUAAAUUAAUGAAUAAUUGAUCCAAUUUAAUUGAUUAUAAGAUUAAAUUACCUUAGGGAUAACAGCGUUAUUUUUUUUAAGAGUUCAAAUCGAAAAAAAAGAUUGCGA
rnacentral:rRNA from 1 species